AAGAGUAAAUAGUUGAGCUAGGGGUUCUGCCCACGAAUCUAUGAAUGUCUUAAAUAAUUAUAUUGGUGACUGGGAGCGGCCGCCGAGACCAUAUAACACCGGUCUUGAAAGACCUACAUUGGCUCCCAGUACGUUUCCGAGCACAAUUCAAAGUGUUGGUGCUGACCUUUAAAGCCCUAAACGGCCUCGGUCCAGUAUAUCUGAAGGAGCAUCUCCACCCCCAUCAUUCUGCCCGGACACUGAGGUCCAGUGCCGAGGGCCUUCUGGCGGUUCCCUCACUGCGAGAGGCCAAGUUACAGGGAACCAGGCAGAGGGCCUUCUCGGUAGUGGCGCCCGCCCUGUGGAACGCCCUCCCAUCAGAUGUCAAAGAGAACAACAACUACCUGACAUUCAGAAGACAUCUGAAGGCAGCCCUGUUCAGGGAAGUUUUUAAUAUGUGACAUUUUAGUGUAUUUUUCAUCUUUGUUGGAAGCUGCCCAGAGUGGCUGGGGAAACCCAGCCAGAUGGGCAGGGUACAAAUAAUAAAUUAUUAUUAUUAUAUUGGUAAACCAUCCGGCCCUGGCAACUUGCCCAGUUUUAGUUUUAAACUAUUAAUUAUCUCUCUAAUUUCCUCCUCUUUCACCCUUGGCCACUCCUUUAGUUUAUCUAGUUUGUUAUUGUUGGUCUCCUUUCUAUUCAAUUUACUAUGUAGAUCGUUAAAUAUAGAAAUGAAAUACUGAGACCAUUUAGAUUCUGCAACUGAUGGGACAUUUGAUUGGUCGCCAGCUUUCAGACCUCCAUAUACUAGCGACCAAAACACUUUGUUAUCAGUGUGCUGGAGCCCACUUUUGUCAGAUUCAUGACAUGAAUUUGGCCUUAGUUGGCAAAUAACACAUCUGGUACAAAGGAAGAAGGGUGAAAGGAGAAAGGUCCCAAUAGUAGAGGAGGUAUAAUCUGUGACAUUAUUAUGCCAAGCCCCAAACCCUAUGCAUGGGGCUCCCCCUCCCCUGACAGAUGUAAAUUCCACUGAGAUAAAAAAAGGAAUCAAAGUAAGUGCGCAGAACUAUCCCCAGCAUCACCAUACAGUGUCUUUAGGCUACUGUCAGGGACUUAGAACCCUGCCAGGUCCCACCAACGAUGCCUAUUUUUAAAAUGUUUUUAAUCUUGCUAAUUUUUUUUACUAAAUUUGAUGUGAUUAUUAAAAGUUAUGGGCAUUGUUAAGUUGUGGGUGAACAUAUCAGAUGACACAGCGAUUCUUCAAACAGCUCUUGUUUAUUCACAGGCCAGAACAGAACUGAAGGGUUCAGCCAACCUGCUUAUAUAGAGCUCAACUACAAAGCAGCAGUAACAACUUUCUGUAACUAUCCAAUCACUGAACGUCACUUUCAAUUCCUUAUUUGCAUAUGUGGACCUGAGUGAAAACUAUCUACAGUAUUCCCCCUGCUGGCUCAGAGUGAGAACUUCAGUACAAAACAGGCAGGAUUCACCUAACCAGCACCAUCAGUGGAAGUCAUUUCUCAGGGUUUUCUCCCUUCUUCCCCACAUGCUCCUGCACCCCAUGAAACUGGUUCGGGGUGGUGGGUCAGGAGAACCCACAAAACAGCACUGCGGGAGGAGAUGUAUGUUACUCCUAUCUGGCAAGGUGCAUGCUUGCACAGACAGAAUAAUUGGAAGAGUGUGGUGUUGAUUCCCACUCUAUAAUUCUAGACUCACAGCAGGUCUGGGGAUGCCACUCUUUUUUAUUUCACACAUUACCUCAAAGCAACUCCCAUCAUUCCUGACCUUUGGUCAGGGGUUGAUGGGAGACUAACAACAUAUGGACAGCUGCACGUUCCCCACUGCUGCUGUAGUGACAUAACAUCAGGGGCAUUGUGGGAAAUAUAUAUAGUUGCUCCCCUGGCCAGUUGCCAUGCGUUUGCUGUCCUUCUGCCCACCACAACUAGAUAAUCUCACCAGCAAUGGGGGCCUUCUUAUGUCAGUGGGGCAUCAACAAAAAGGAUCCCCACUAGAUGGCAAUUUGUAGAGGCUCUCCUCAAACCUGGAGCCAGCCCUGGUCUUAAACUUUGCCCUGCUGCAUUCCCAAAUUGUAUUUAUGUAGCUUUCGUUUACCAAGUUGUCUAGGGAAAGAAAGGGGAUAAAAUAAAUAGCCCCGUGGCAUAGUCUGAUGGUACACAAUACAGACUCCUCGUGAAAGAAAGCAGGUUUGGGUCUAGCCGGUGCCUAAACUGGAGACACCUGGGAAUCCAAUAUGGCUUUGGUAAUGGAAGACAGGAUAUAAAUAUACCAAAUAAAUAAAUAACCUUUUUCAAAAAACAACCAUAGAGCCUUGAAGUUGAUGCUGAGCACUGGUAGAGGAGAAGAACCAUUUACGCCACCUUGGAGAAAAGUUAGGAUAUAAAUGCAACAAAAUGGUACAAGGCUAAAGUUUUGGCACCGCUCUAUACAUUGGUUUCAUAGUGAUGAUUAAUAAACGAUUGAAGAAAUACAGAGGCAACACAUUUUACAAUCAGAGGACAAAAAAAAUCCUGGAAAAUAGUCUUUCAGUGGGCAAAAACAAGAGGAAGAGCCCAGCCGAGAACAUUGUUCUGUAAAACUACUACAUUUACUGCCGCUAUUAGUGAAGUGAGCAUGGAAUCCACUUGACACAUGCAAGAAAGACACGUGUGCAUCAACUGAACAUUUCCAGAGCUCAAAAACCAAAGGUAAAAGGUGAGAUAAUAAUGUGAAAGUGUUGUCAGCUCCAGUAUCUUUCUGCAGUUACUGAUGUUAUUUUGUCAAGAUGUAUUUCACAGAUCAUUGACUUGAGCACAAAGCAAACGUAAUCUGUAAUCCAGGAGGAGAUCUAUCAGCUACUAUCACUGCAAAGAUAAAUCUCCCCCCCCCCCCACAGUAACAAAAGAACAACAACAAAACAGAAAGAAUGGGGACUGAGAAAAAGCUGGCUGAAAAAAUCUAAUAAUGUUUGUAAGCAAAUCAUUGAACAUAUUGUUAUUUUUUACUGAAAUUCAAAUACAUGAUGUUACUAAGCUUUAUAUGUAUGUAGCAAUUUUAAAAGGUAUUCUAACUGCAUUAAUUGGCCAGCUUGAACAUUGUACGAAUUGCAGAUGAAUGUGCAUCACACAGAUUCUCUUAAUCCAAAUUCCAGAAAAGCAUCUUUCCGGGUAGAGGCAAAACAGCCUCCUAUCCAAACUUUCCUCUGUGUUCAGUAGCCAGAGUUCAGUAUAUACCAUCCAUUGUCAAAUAUGGAAUGGUUUAUGUAUGCAUGCUGCGCCAUCUGUGUAUAUACUGCCUUUCAGAGUGUAAAAUGCAAUAUGUGUAAAUGGUUGGAGGUGGCAGGGGUUUCUGUUGCUUUUAGAACUAGACAGCAGUCCUUUAAAUGUAUGGUGUGUACACAGCCUUAGUCUAAAAUUAUUUCAAUGUGUGCUAUCAUUUUUGCUUGUAUUCACCAGUACACAUUCUACCUUGGGGGGCCAAUGUUGUGGAACUCCCUUCUGGCUGAGAUCAUGCAGUCUCCCCCUACCCCUGCCCGCAAAAUUUGGCACCUACUGAAUACUUUUUUAAAAAAUUCCAUUGGACAUUUAAACUGAAUUCUGAUUUUAUAGUUUUAACCGGUUUCUGUUUUCAUUGGACUGUGUUCCUUGGACAAAAGUUGGAAUAUCUAUAUGUAACAGAUUCAAAUAUGUUGCAUUUAUUUUAUUUCCUUUGUUGUUUAACUGCUUGUUGUAUUUCUCCUUAUGCCCG